GAGUAGCUCAGCUCAUGGGAGCUGCGUGUGUCUCGCCUCCCAGGCUGAGAUGGAUUAGCUAUUUCAAGCCUUUUCCUCAGCCCCACCUUUUGACCUCUCUCCUUGGUAGAGCUCAUCUGUCAGGCGAAAUGAUGAAACUCAAGCCUGAGAAUUCCUGCCAGGCAGAGCCGCUCCUCCCUCGGUCAACAUCCCAGCCUACACUUUACCCAGCGGCCAUUGUCCACGUUGGUUGCGGUUGGCUGUAACUCAGAAGUCUCCCAUGCUCAAGCCAAGCUCUUUCCCUCAUAUGGACCACGUGGACCUUCUUACUUGGAUCUGAGUAUGAAGCUUUACUUAGAUUUAUCUUUUUCACAUCUGCUCUCUCCAUGUUGCUUGACCUGACUCCUUCGGCUGUCGGUGUGGUUUUGAAUCAUUUUUCAACCUACUAGCUUUUCUCUCAGCCCCAUGACUGCCUAGAAAUGUGAUCCCCAUGCUUUCAACAUGGGACAAAAAUGGCUUGGAAGGGGGGGGUGACCAACCCACAACUGAGGAAGACCACAGAUGAAUGCUAACACAGUGGUAGGCACUGGUCUUGCAUUGUCAACAGUCCUACUGAUAUAAAACACACUUCCCUUACAUCCAUUUUAAUCGAAACCUUUCUGAAACCAAUGCCAAAGGGAGGCAGAAGCCAUCCCACAGGAAGGAGCUAACCAUGCUGAGGAAGAAAUAGUGAUGGGAAUCCAACACACCCAUGGCUUAAUAUUGUGACAUCGUCGUCUCUGCAUUCUGAGCAUCCUGCAACAAAGGCUUGUCGGGUUAUGUGCAACAAAAUACAAGUUGAAAGGACUCUUGAGGAUUUAAGAGCUUUGCUCUGAAGAAAACUGCAUUUGGACGGAAUACAGGCAUUCAUUUGAUCGCAAUAGAACAUUCUUAGAAUUUAGAAAGCAGAGCAUGUAAUGAGAGUUGCAUAUCAGACACUGGGCACCACUGGAGCAGAAAUGAGAACAAACUGAGAACCCAGGACAAGAAACACUGAAGUCAAGAGAGCACAGAUGGAAACCUCUGAAAUCAUGAACCUGGAUGAACCCUCAUCCUUGCUGAGAAGAGACAAAAACAGAAGAUGGCAAAACUGCGGUUGCUGCCCUCGAGGUGCUAGGAGAAUCAAGACUUACGUUUCCAGUAUGUAAACUGUGACCAGACUCCCUGCAUGGAGGAUCCUGGACAAUUCCCCAAUGGAAUCUGACCAAUCACAUUGGGAAGUGUGAGCCCUAAGAGGUCCUGAGAUAAUCUAUAAACCUCCUCUCUGAGGAACGGCCAGCAUGAGAGUUGCUAUACUUGUGUGGAUAAUAGUCUAUGCCUAAGCUAGGCAUUGUCUAUGCCCAGAAAAGUGUUCUAAGCAAUAUCCGAUAAUCACUUUUAAGCCACUGGAAAAUCAUUGGUGCCAAUGACUGACAUUUCCAGAAUCUAGGAGUCGGUGCCAAGCAGAGCCAAGGGAAGUACCUAUGAGACACUCCUUCGUGCCUACAUCUGUGUUGUCUUACAGGUCUGACAGCUCAGCCUGGUAGAGCUCAGCCUGGCAGAGCAGGACAGAGGCAGUGUCUGAACAGACUCACAGAUGGCUCAUCCUUCCUCACUGUGCGACCCUAGGAGAGUUUACUCAUCUGUUCCCAUCCUUGGCUUCCUCCCCCUAAAACAGUGAGCCAAUGCCACCUUCCCCACAGGAUUACUAGAGCCUUAAAUAAAAAUUUUAAAUGUGCUGAA